AGUGAUGGGAGUGACAUCAUACCCAAACUCCAUCGGGAGACAACCAUGCUGAAACAACUACCCACCAUUCCACAGGGACGUGUCCCCGAUGACGAGUCAUCAAAGAAGAAACGCAAUUUCGGAAACUGGUCUGACGACGAGACAGACAACCAGGUUGAGAAAGAAAUAAAGGAUGAGCCCGAGCCGCCACCCAAACUAGAGAAAGGUCCGUG